UACGUAGGGGGCGAGCGUUAUUCGGAAUUACUGGGCGUAAAGCGUGCGCAGGCGGUUCGUUAUGUCCGGUGUGAAAGCCCCGGGCUCAACCUGGGAAUGGCAAUGGAAACUGGCGGGCUAGAGGGUGGCAGAGGGGGGUGGAAUUCCGCGUGUAGCAGUGAAAUGCGUAGAGAUGCGGAGGAACACCGAUGGCGAAGGCGGCUGCCUGGCCCAAUACUGACACUCAGGUGCGACAGCGUGGGGAGCAAACAGG
rnacentral:rRNA from 1 species